UCAUCAGGGUAAGUUUCGUCGCCAUGACCUUUCUCCUUAAAUGCUCUCAAUCCUCACGGAGAAGCUCUUUGACGCUUCACCAAGAGAAACCGCGACCGGCGCUCACAUGCAAUGAAAUCAAACACCUGGUCUGGAGAAAGGUUCCCUAGGGGCGCCGAGGUCUUUUACCUUGCGAGAUGCGCGGGCAUGUCAAGUUCGAUUGAGCCGAGCCCAGCGGCAAAGAG
rnacentral:misc_RNA from 1 species